rnacentral:rRNA from 1 species
GAUGAACGCUGGCGGCGUGCCUAAUACAUGCAAGUCGAGCGAAUGGAUUAAGAGCUUGCUCUUAUGAAGUUAGCGGCGGACGGGUGAGUAACACGUGGGUAACCUGCCCAUAAGACUGGGAUAACUCCGGGAAACCGGGGCUAAUACCGGAUAACAUUUUGAACCGCAUGGUUCGAAAUUGAAAGGCGGCUUCGGCUGUCACUUAUGGAUGGACCCGCGUCGCAUUAGCUAGUUGGUGAGGUAACGGCUCACCAAGGCAACGAUGCGUAGCCGACCUGGGAGGGUGAUCGGCCACACUGGGACUGAGACACGGCCCAGACUCCUACGGGAGGCAGCAGUAGGGAAUCUUCCGCAAUGGACGAAAGUCUGACGGAGCAACGCCGCGUGAGUGAUGAAGGCUUUCGGGUCGUAAAACUCUGUUGUUAGGGAAGAACAAGUGCUAGUUGAAUAAGCUGGCACCCUGACGGUACCUAACCAGGAAGCCACGGCUAACUACGUGCCAGCAGCCGCCGUAA